GGACGGCAAAAUAUAUCUAGACAGCUGUAAAACGAUACAAAUUUUGGUAAUAAAAUGGAGCAUCAACAUGUUUGACCUGGUAAAUUUCCGGUGACUCUCUCAAGAGUCUCCUUAUUUUCCACCUUUACCUCUUCCCAACCUCCGUUACAUUUUUCACUUCUUCAAAAUCUUUCCCGAUCUUUAAUUCUUUCUCUCCGCAAGCCACUCCACACCCAUUACGUGAAAUUGAAAAGGGUGUCAUAAAGUAGUCGCUUUUCGCUGAUCUGUGCACCGGAAGUGUACUUCUAGAAAGCUUGUAUCUAUCUGCAUCAAUGGCGGAAAUUGUGAAACAGAUCUUAGCGAAGCCGAUCCAAUUGGCAGACCAGGUGAUCAAAUCGGCUGAUGAAGCUUCUUCACAUUUUAAACAAGAUUGUGGUGAGCUUAAAUCCAAGACCGAAAAACUCGCUGGGCUUCUCAGGCAGGCGGCGCGUGCAAGUAGUGAGCUUUAUGAAAGGCCCACGCGCCGUAUCAUUGAUGAUACUGAUCAGGUACUUGAAAAGGCUCUUGCUCUUGUUCAGAAAUGUAAGGCACAUGGGAUUGUUAAGAGGGUUUUCACUAUUAUACCUACUGCUGCUUUUCGAAAAAUGUCUGCUCAGCUUGAGAAUUCUAUUGGGGAUGUUUCUUGGCUUCUUAGGGUUUCGGCUUCGGGUGAGAGUAGGGAUGAUGAGUACUUAGGGUUGCCUCCAAUUGCGGCGAAUGAGCCAAUUUUGUGUUUGAUUUGGGAGCAGAUUGCGAUUUUGUCUAGUGGUUCUUUGGAUGAUAGGUGUGAUGCAGCUGCCUCCCUUGUGUCGCUUGCUCGGGACAAUGAUCGAUAUGGGAAGUUGAUAAUUGAGGAAUGUGGGGUUGGGCCAUUGUUGAAGUUGGUGAAAGAAGGGAAAUUGGAAGGUCAGGAGAAUGCUGCUAAGGCAAUUGGGCUUCUAGGGAAAGAUUCGGAGAGUGUUGAACACAUGGUUCAUGCUGGUGUUUGUUCCGUGUUUGCGAAGACUUUGAAAGAAGGUCCUAUGAAAGUUCAGGCUGUGGUUGCUUGGGCUGUAUCUGAACUUGCUGAACAUUAUCCGAAAUGUCAAGAUCUUUUUGCACAGCAUAAUAUAAUCAGAUUGCUUGUUGUUCAUCUGGCUUUUGAGACUGUUCAAGAACAUAGUAAGUAUGCUGUUACUAGUAAUAAAACUAAUCUCCAUGCUGUUGUUUUGGCUAGUAAUAGUUCGAACAGUACUGUUAGUAGUGUUGUUAAGCCAGUUGAUGAUGAGAAGCCUAGUAAAGUUUUGCAUCCGAUGGGAAAUAGGAAUCCUAGCCAGAUGCAUAAUGUUGUAGCUACAACUAUGGCCAUGAAUGGUAACCCUAAACCUAAGAGCAAUGAUGUGGCGAAUCAAACUAAUAUUGCCAAGGGUGACAAUAAUGGCAAUGACAAACAUAAUCAUGUCAGUCAUCAUCAUCAGCCGAGCCUAUCACUCUCUGGAGCCAGCAUUAAGGGGAGGGAGUUGGAGGAUCCAGUUACCAAGGCUUAUUUGAAAAAAAUGACAGCAAGAGCUCUCUGUAAGCUCGCCAAGGGGAACUCGGCUAUCUGUCGCAGCAUCACAGAGUCAAGAGCUUUGUUAUGCUUUGCUGUGCUUUUAGAGAAAGGACCUGAAGAAGUGAAGUUUGAUUCUGCAAUGGCAUUAAUGGAGAUCACUGCAGUGGCGGAGCAAGAUUCUGAGUUGAGACGAGCGGCAUUCAAGCCUAAUGCUCCAGCUUGCAAAGCUGUUGUUGAUCAACUAUUCAUGAUUAUUGAAAAAGCUGAAUCUGAGUUGCUUAUUCCAUGUGUCAAGGCCAUUGGGAAUUUGGCUAGGACUUUUCGAGCAACGGAGACAAGGAUGAUAUGCCCAUUAGUGCGACUACUUGAUGAACGUGAAGGGGAGAUUUCCCGGGAAGCCUGCAUUGCCCUCACAAAGUUUGCCAGUCCUCAAAAUUAUCUCCACCUUGAUCACUCCAAGGCGAUAAUCAGUGCUGGAGGUGCAAAGCAUUUGAUCCAACUUGUGUAUUUUGGCGAGCAAAUUGUUCAAAUUUCAGCAUUGACUCUUUUGUGCUACAUUGCACUUAAUGUACCGGACAGCGAAGAAUUGGCUCAAGCGGAGGCACUCACUGUUCUUGAAUGGGCAUCAAAGCAACCACUCUUAAAUCAAGACGAAAUGGUGGAAUCAUUGUUACAAGAGGCAAAAGGCAAGUUGGAGCUGUAUCAGUCCAGAGGUUCAAGAGGUUUCCAUUGAAUUAGGAAAAGAUUAUGCAGUACACAUAUCUUAGUUGUUGGCAUGGAUGAAAAUAGACUAUAUAGUCAGAAAAGCUUCAUGUUUAUUUUAUAAGACUCCAGCAAGCUCUUUAUAGGAAGAGAGGUUAUAUAACUUGUAUGUGAUGAUAUAUGCAUGUUAAUUCUAUUUUGUAAGUAUAACUGGUUACCAGUCACGAGUCUUGGCUAUGCUGUAUAUCCUACUGGCUGUCAAACAUUCGGAUUUGAAAUGGCAUCAUCAACUGGUAUCCCAAGUCUUGAUCGAAAUGUUAGUAAGAAAUUAAUGUAGUGUGAUCAUAUUUGGUACUCUUUAAACAUGCUACAUUCGGCUUGUAAAAUGUAUCUAUGAGUUUGCUCCAGUAUGUCAAACAAUACAAAACAAAUGUUCUUGAGCA